AGUGAACGUUGGCGGCGUGGAUUAGGCAUGCAAGUCGAGCGAGAACCGUAGCAAUACGGGGACAGCGGCGAAAGGGACAGUAAUGUGUAGGUACCUACCCCGAGGUCUGGGAUAGCUGCGGGAAACUGCAGGUAAUACCGGAUAAUGUCUUCGGACCAAAGGUGUGAUACCACCUUGGGAGGGGCCUGCAUCCUAUUAGCUAGUUGGCGGGGUAAUGGCCCACCAAGGCAACGAUGGGUAGCGGGUGUGAGAGCACGACCCGCGUCAUUGGGACUGAGAUACUGCCCAGACACCUACGGGUGGCUGCAGUCGAGGAUCUUCGGCAAUGGGCGAAAGCCUGACCGAGCGACGCCGCGUGCGGGAUGAAGGCCUUCGGGUUGUAAACCGCUGUCGUAGAGGAGGAAAUGCAGGGGGGUUCUCCCUUCUGUUUGACCUAUUCUAGGAGGAAGGACGGGCUAAGUUCGUGCCAGCCGCCGCGGUAA
rnacentral:rRNA from 1 species